rnacentral:tRNA from 1 species
GCGUCGGUGCCAGAGUGGUCAAUUGGAAUGGACUGUAAAUCCAUCGGCUUCGGCCUACGCAGGUUCAAAUCCUGCCCGGCGCACAA